AUACGUAGGUGGCAAGCGUUAUCCGGAAUUAUUGGGCGUAAAGAGUGAGCAGGCGGUUAAUUAAGUCUGAGGUUAAAGCGUGGGGCUCAACCCCAUAAAGCCUUGGAAACUGAUUGACUAGAGUACGGGAGAAGUGAAGGGAACUCCAUGUGUAGCGGUGAAAUGCGUAGAUAUAUGGAAGAACACCAGUGGUGAAGGCGCUUCACUAGCCCGAAACUGACGCUCAGUCACGAAAGCGUGGGUAGCAAAUAGGAUUAGAUACCCUAGUAGGCCACGCUAUAAACGAUGACAACGAAAUAUUGCCGCGAGGCAGUGUUGAAGCUAACGCAUUAAGUUGUCCGCCUGGGGAGUACGGUCGCAAGACUGAAACUUAAAGGAAUUGACAGGG
rnacentral:rRNA from 1 species